rnacentral:rRNA from 1 species
AUUGAACGCUGGCGGCAUGCUUUACACAUGCAAGUCGAACGGUAACAGGUCUUCGGAUGCUGACGAGUGGCGAACGGGUGAGUAAUGCAUCGGAACGUGCCCAGUCGUGGGGGAUAACGUAGCGAAAGCUACGCUAAUACCGCAUACGAUCUAUGGAUGAAAGCGGGGGACCGUAAGGCCUCGCGCGAUUGGAGCGGCCGAUGUCAGAUUAGGUAGUUGGUGGGGUAAAGGCUCACCAAGCCAACGAUCUGUAGCUGGUCUGAGAGGACGACCAGCCACACUGGAACUGAGACACGGUCCAGACUCCUACGGGAGGCAGCAGUGGGGAAUUUUGGACAAUGGGCGCAAGCCUGAUCCAGCAAUGCCGCGUGCAGGAAGAAGGCCUC